UACGAAGGGGGCUAGCGUUGCUCGGAAUCACUGGGCGUAAAGGGUGCGUAGGCGGGUCUUUUAAGUCAGGGGUGAAAUCCUGGAGCUCAACUCCAGAACUGCCUUUGAUACUGAGGAUCUUGAGUUCGGGAGAGGUGAGUGGAACUGCGAGUGUAGAGGUGAAAUUCGUAGAUAUUCGCAAGAACACCAGUGGCGAAGGCGGCUCACUGGCCCGAUACUGACGCUGAGGCACGAAAGCGUGGGGAGCAAACAGGGAUAGAA
rnacentral:rRNA from 1 species